UGCGAGUCUGAGAUUUGAAAGCAUCCCACUCUUGAAUUAUGAUUAUUUAUUGUCUUUACAGUGCCUAAAGGCCCAGCCUCGUUGUGCUGAGGACUCUGCAGACAAAAUGAAGGCACAGCCCCUGCCUUGAAGCACACCGUGACUGCUGCCUUGACAUUGUGCCGAGCUGACAUCCCAACCGGUCUGACACUGAUGCCUUUGGGCAGAAAUCAGAGCCGGUUUGCUCCAUGGCUCGGUGCAGCCACGACGCCUGUAGCGCCUCGCAGAGCCCCCAGUGCCCUGCUGGGGAAAUGGAGCGAGCACGUGGGCCCCAGAUGAACUCCGCAGGCACAGCAGCUCCUUGACUUCAGCUAAUUGCCAUGUUCCCUCGAAGGAGGAGUGAUGCCUCACCCAAGUUUCUCUGCUAUGGAUGUGAGGAGCUGAUCUCGGAGUUAUUCAGUGGUUUCUUACAUCAUUCCUGUGUUCCCAGCCGUGCCACAAGGCUUUCAGAAGGAAAGUUCCUCUGUCUGGUUCAGUGCCUGGUCACAGUGAGUUUUCCUGGCACAAGCGAGUGGAAAGAGCACUUUGGCAUGGAGAGGAAAUGA
rnacentral:lncRNA from 1 species